rnacentral:rRNA from 1 species
GUGGUUUAAUUCGAUGCAACGCGAAGAACCUUACCUGGUCUUGACAUCCCGGAGACCCUUAGGAAACUAGGGGUGCUUCCAUCUGGAAGAAUCUGGAGACAGGUGCUGCAUGGCUGUCGUCAGCUCGUGUCGUGAGAUGUUGGGUUAAGUCCCGCAACGAGCGCAACCCUUGCCUUUAGUUGCCAGCAGUUCGGCUGGGCACUCUAAAGGGACUGCCGGUGUUAAACCGGAGGAAGGUGGGGAUGACGUCAAGUCCUCAUGGCCUUUAUGACCAGGGCUACACACGUACUACAAUGGCCGAUACAAAGGGCAGCGACACUGCGAGGUGAAGCCAAUCCCGUAAAAUCGGUCUCAGUUCGGAUUGGAGUCUGCAACUCGACUCCAUGAAGUUGGAAUCGCUAGUAAUCGUGGAUCAGCAUGCCACGGUGAAUACGUUCCCGGGCCUU